rnacentral:rRNA from 1 species
ACGGGUGAGUAACGCGUGGGAACGUGCCCUUCGGUUCGGAAUAACUCAGGGAAACUUGAGCUAAUACCGGAUACGCCCUUUUGGGGAAAGGUUUACUGCCGAAGGAUCGGCCCGCGUCUGAUUAGCUAGUUGGUGAGGUUAUGGCUCACCAAGGCGACGAUCAGUAGCUGGUCUGAGAGGAUGAUCAGCCACACUGGGACUGAGACACGGCCCAGACUCCUACGGGAGGCAGCAGUGGGGAAUAUUGGACAAUGGGGGCAACCCUGAUCCAGCCAUGCCGCGUGAGUGAUGACGGCCUUAGGGUUGUAAAGCUCUUUUCUCCGGGACGAUAAUGACGGUACCGGAGGAAUAAGCCCCGGCUAACUUCGUGCCAGCAGCCGCGGUAAUACGAAGGGGGCUAGCGUUGCUCGGAAUCACUGGGCGUAAAGGGCGCGUAGGCGGCUGAUUUAGUCGAGGGUGAAAGCCCGUGGCUCAACCACGGAAUGGCCUUCGAUACUGAUUGGCUUGAGACCGGAAGAGGACAGCGGAACUGCGAGUGUAGAGGUGAAAUUCGUAGA